AUGCAGGAGAAAGGAUGGCACCCAGAGACGAGGAAGGGCGUAGCAAGCAACGAAAUGCUUCGAGGAGUUGAAAAUAAGCAUAGAUCCGGAGAUUCCCAAAUAGGUCAACCUUUUGAACUGCCUGCUGAAUCCAUGAGCAGGCAAGAGACAACCUGGCGAACUGAAACAUAUUAG
rnacentral:rRNA from 1 species